UUAGCCAGCUGAGUGGGGAGGAGAGAGGGACAGAGAGCCUGCUUGCUUUAAACGAGCCAACACUCGUGUAAGCGGCUCCUCUCCUCUCCCACUUUGCUCCUUUAAAGCAAGCAGGCUCUCUGUCCCUCUCUCCUCCCCACUCAGAGGCUCU